rnacentral:lncRNA from 1 species
AUGAGCAGUGUGUGUCAGAGUGAGAAACAGCACCUGGAUCUCUCAAUUGUGAAGCUGUUGCUCUUGGCACUGCGUCAUCCUGACUGCAAACAAAACACUGAGAUUGACUUUGCCUGUGUCCUUCUUAUGCCUACAAAUGUGCCCACCUGCCAGCUUCAGAGCCAGCAGUCCACACCAUGUACCCAAGGCAAGCCUGAUGCUUCUGCACGACAUCCAAAACUAUCAGUGCUGGGACCAGAGAGACUAAUAGGAAAACUUAAAAUUUUUAAGUCUGCCAGCCCAACAGCUCCUCUGGAAGAGCAUCCAGACGACACAGCGGGGAGCAGGCACUGCUUGCCUGCACUCAGCAAUGUGCUAUUGAAUCACUGGGCCACAAAGCAAGUGCAUGCGAGGGAGCGUGGCUGCCUUUCCUACCGGUUUGAGCAUUCACAUGGGAGUUUGAGAGUCUGGACUCUGCUCCCAGGACUGUUUAUGCAUUUUACGUGGAACAGUCACCAGGUAACAUAUAAUCCCCAAUCAAAGCCCUGA